GGCGACGAGAGGCUGAAAAUUGCUCAUAUUUUAUUUAAAAUAGCUCAAAAGUGGCACCUAUCUGAGGUUCAAAAGGCAUGUAAUUUGAAAGUAUACCUACUAAAGUUAAGUAAUCAGGAAUAAAACUCGUCUGCAAGCAAUUUUCUGAAAAGUUAUGAAUCUCCGAAUUGGGUCUAUUUUUAGCUGUAUGUUUACAUUCGCGUGUUCGCUGAUCAGCGACACUAGUAAUAAUUAAAAAGUUAAAUAAGCUGGUUUAUUAUCCAGCUUCUAAUUCACAACAUAAAAACAUUAAAAAUACAACCUUAACCAUUCUUGGCUUAUUCGCAUGAAUAAUUUCACAACUGUUAAAUAUCUUUUUAAGGUAUAAUCGGGCAGUACUUUCUGUGGUUGUAGCAAAUUUCAAAGCUGUCAGUAUCUCUGGCUGUACAUAAAAAGUGUUCGGUGCUUUAACUUUUUUAUUCAACUUGUCUUGUAAUCUUUUUCUGUCCCUGUAAAUGGAAAUUUUGCCGGAAAGGUCGGAUCGGACAUUAAUUCUUGCAGCAUGGAUGCAACAUAUUUUUGUACAUAAUUGCAGUCAAAAUACUACAACCUUCCCACUUCCGCUUUUGUAGUCUGUUGUCAUUUACUAUUUUGUUUUGACUUUUGCAUUAUUGUAGCGGUUGUCGAAUUAUGGAGAAAUAUGGCGAUAAAAUUUAGUUGUUUUUUAUUUUUGUAAUAUUUUAAAUAAUUGUAACAAAGGUUGCAUUUUUCGUUUGAUUCACUGCAUAUGAACACAUAAGAAUUUUGAAAUUUAACUUAUAUCGUCGUAUUUCCAUAUAAUUUGUUAACCGCUGCAAUAACAGAAAUACUGCAGUAAGAAACAGAGAUUUUCAAAAAAAUAGUUUUAAAAAAGUUUUAAAAGAGUUUUAAAAAGCAAAAAAGUUUAAAAUGUUAGAUUUUUAAAAAAGUUAAAAAAAUUACGGUUAAAAAAGUUAGGGUUAGGAGUUAGAGAUUACUGGUUAGAAGUUAGGGGAUUAGUGGUUAGGGGUUAGUGCCGCGAAUUUAUUAUUAUCAUAAAUUCAAAAUGUGCUGCGAAUUUAUCAUAAUGAUAAUUUCGGACGUGUUUAAGAAUUUACUCAUAUAGUAAAUUCAAAGGUGGAGCUCAUGCUGAACUGCAACACUAGCUUGCCAGUUAUUUUUGAUAGCAGCUCUUAUUUUUACUUUGUGCAUGCUUGAGUCAUGGAAAAGAACUUUUCUUUUGCUGGCCUGGGGAAUUUUGCAUGUGGAGAAAGCCGGGGAAUACAGAAAGUUGCACAAAUUGGGGGAGUGUAAUGCAGACACUUGUACUCACCCCAGCAGUUGUCACCUCACGAGGCUUACCAUCAACGAGAGUGAACUUAUACUUGCCAGAGCAGGGCACUUUUACCUACCCAGGAAUAGCUGACAAACAUGACUAUCCAGUCUGUUAUUAGUUCAGUUUCAUUUUUCAAUUGGGUCUAUCCUGUCAAUAUGAGAUCAGUGGAUAGACUCUAUAAAAAAUGAAGCCAAUAGACAAAUUUGGCUAACGCUGUUUACAUCGUUGCCACCCAAUUCACAGCUUUGGAUAACUCACAUGCCUAGUUACUAUUGUUCUAGUUUACAGAAGCAUAGACUGAAUAGAACAAAAGUAACUAAACAUUAAACUUAUGUAUUAUCACUUUAUAUUUACUGAGAUCGAGGCCGAGGAAAACAGUGUGUUUUGUGGACCAGAGCCACUUAUAGAUAGUAUAUAAGUGUUAAAGUAUGAAUAAUUCACCGAUUAUUGGAGUGAACUUAGCGGCAGAUCAAGGCAGGGGCGCCGGAGCCACGGGGGCAACUGCCCCCGUUGCCGAAACAGUGCGGGGGCGGCACGGGGGCAACAGCUUGCCCUUUUUCACCAGAACUGCGCUUCGAAAUUUGUGCGUUAUUAACAUGAAUUGAAAUUUAUAACUAUUUUAAGCAACCUUUGCUUAAUUUUAACCAGUUGUAGUGAAAUUAAUGCGUGAGGCCGCGGAAUUACUUUUGUAUAAUUGUGAUCAAAAUCAAACGAUUUUUGAAAAUAUGGAGUUCCUAUAAAGUCGGAAAUGGCCUUUACAGAGUUUUUACUACUACAAAAAGGGCAUUUCCUUUCUAGCCCCCCCAAAAAGGCAUUUUUUCAUUUUUAAAAUGUGGUGAGGCACAUGCCCCAUUGUCCCCGGUUCCGCGGCCCCUGAUUAAUGCUAAACCAGGCAAUAUACGUCUGUUUACUGAUUUUAUCAGCGCCCUUAACAUGGUGCAACGAAUAAAAUUGUUCAAAAUUAAUGUCGAAGUUUGCCGACCCACAAUAGCCACAAGUAAUCGAGUAUCCAUACAAUAAAGUUAUAACAAAUAUUGCCGCCCAGAAAAAUGAUUGCUUAGAAGCAAGUGCCCUUUUGAAAUGGCUGCCCCGCCGCUUCACAUUGCUUCCGGCGCCCCUGGAUCAAGGUCAUAAUCAGGAGAUUAUGGUAUUGUGUCAAUGUAUUGACGAAGUUCUUAUUAUAUUACCAAUAUAUUAUUUAAUAACAUUAAAAGAUAUCAGGAUCGUAGACACCAGCAGAAUCGUUGUAACUGUACUACUGUAUGUGUAUAUUGAAAGUGUAUAAUUAGUGCAAGUGUAUAAAGUUAAGUAUAAAUGUAAAGUAAUUCGAAUUCAAGAAUGUUCUGUACACGAUCGCUUAAUUGUAUAUAUUGUAAUUAUAUUUUCACAAAAUUGUAUAUAUUCUUUUGAACAAGCUAAAAAGGUUUACUCAUGGGUAAUAAAUCAGCCUAUUUUAACUCUUCAAUUACUAGUGUCGCUGAUCAGCGAACACGCGAAUGUAAACAAACAGCUAAAAAUAGACCCAAUUCGGAGAUUUAUAACUUUUCAGAAAAUUGCUUGCAGACGAGUUUUAUUCCUGAUUACUUAACUUUAGUAGGUAUACUUUCAAAUUACAUGCCUUUUGAACUUCAG